UUCUUUAUUUUGUCUACAAAUACCCUUCCGCCCUAUUGCUUUCUAUCUGCUGUGUGGCUUCGGUUUCUCUUCCGAAGGGACAAGCAGCAACCACUCCGAUUCUCAAAUCAUACUCUCAAUCGCUUCUCGAACCUUCUCAACAUGGAACGCAUCGUUGGCCGCAAGUACAAGCUCGGCCGCAAGAUCGGAAGUGGAUCCUUCGGCGAAAUCUACCUCGCGACGCAUGUUGACACCUUCGAGAUCGUCGCCGUCAAGAUCGAGAAUAGAAAAACGAAGCAUCCGCAACUUCUUUACGAGGCAAAGCUCUACAAUAUUCUUCAAGGAGGAAGUGGAAUUCCGAACAUAAAAUGGUCUGGCAUAGACGGGGAGGAAAAUGUGCUUGUUCUUGACUUGCUUGGGCCGAGUCUUGAAGAUCUUUUUGUGUAUUGUGGAAGGAAGUUUUCAUUGAAGACAGUGUUAAUGUUGGCUGAUCAAAUGAUCACUAGGAUAGAAUAUGUGCAUUCUAAAGGAUUUCUGCAUAGGGAUAUUAAACCCGAUAACUUUCUCAUGGGACUUGGUCGGAAGGCCAACCAGGUUUACAUAAUUGAUUUUGGGCUUGCAAAACGAUACCGGGAAUCGGGUACCAAUCGCCACAUCCCCUACAGGGAGAACAAAAACUUAACCGGCACAGCCCGAUAUGCAAGUUGUAAUACUCAUCUUGGGAUUGAGCAAAGUCGGCGGGAUGAUUUGGAAUCUCUAGGAUAUGUACUUUUGUAUUACCUCAGAGGAAGCCUUCCUUGGCAAGGUCUAAAGGCUGCUACGAAGAAACAAAAGUAUGAUAAAAUAUGUCAGAAGAAAGUUUCAACUCCUAUUGAGGUACUUUGCAAAACUCAUCCAGUAGAGUUUGCUUCGUACUUCCAUUACUGCCACUCAUUGACAUUUGAUCAGCGACCUGAUUAUGGAUUCUUAAAGCGCCUAUUUCGGGACCUAUUUUCUCGAGAAGGCUAUGAAUUUGAUUAUGUUUUUGAUUGGACCAUUUUAAAGUACCAGCAAUCUCAAAAGAGUGCAGUGCUCCCUCCACUAUCUCCAGUUCCAGGAGCAAGUAACAGUCGAGCAAUCCCAAUGGAUAUUGACCAUCAUCAAGGGCAUGUUAUGGAGCGGAAUAGAGCAGGCGAUGCUGCUGGUUCUGGUGUUAAAAUCCAGUUUAAAUCACCAGGGGGUAAAAAUGUGAGCUAUGAGAAUCCACUUGACAAAAAUAUUUAUGGAGAAGCAAAUAUACCCGCUGCUUCAUUCUCUCCUGCUAGUACUUCUAUAAGGAACUCCUUGAAGCUAUCUUUGUCUGCUGAAGCUUCUAACCCUGGACACGGGCAAGGCAGUAAAAUUGGCCCUUCAAGUAGCUUGAUGUCAUCUCUGCAGCACAUGUCUUCUUCUAAAUGAAUGCCAAAUAUGUAUGAAGCUUUAAAGAAGAUUCUAUACAUCUUUUCUCAAGUGUUAGGUCAACAAUAUUUGAAGUGCAUUCGUGGAGACUGCCGAUGUGCUAGAAAACCGACAGAUUGCAUAGCUCCUCUUUUGAGGCCAUUUAGUUUGCUUCUUUCCUGAGGUGACUACAAAUGAUUGUGCGGUUAUCGAAAGUGUAAGUUAUUCUGAUACUGAAGCAAACAUUAUGGCUGAAGGAUCACUGAAAUAAUGAUCUCUUUUGGGUUAGCAAAGGACUUCUUUUUCCAAUCAAUAUUGACUGAAGGAUGAAAUUUGGCAGACUCCAUGAUGCUGCUACUUCUGAUAAAUAAUUCAGCAUAACCACACGCAGAGACUAGUCACUGACUUCAACAGGAGACAAGACUACUUAGUACUGGUGCUUCAAUUUAAGACUCUUGAAUCGUCUUGCUGGCCCAAAUGGGAUUGUGAAGAUUAUUCCCAGGCACCGUGCAUUUCCGUGAGGUUGAGUAAAUGGAAAAUGUGAACACAGGGAGGCAGCACCCUCAAGUGCACUCAGAAUUGAUGAGUAGAUUGCAUUGCUGGAAUGCUAUCAAAGUACCAGUAGCAUUUACCUUGAGUAUGCGACUGUAGGCAAAUGUAUUCAAAUGAUUAUAAUGUAGUUUAUAAUCCGAAAUGUAUGGUUAAAGAUUUGUGCUGUGUAUGUUAAAGCAUUUUUCGCCCCCUCUUAAUAUUUCAUUCGUACCAAUGAAUAUGAUCUUAGAAGUCCGAAACUACGGAGUUGAGAUGUGGUACGAUUAUAUGGGGGUCUUUGGUUUGAAAUCUUUUAUGGCAAAAAUAUCCCCUGCGCCAUUUCGCAUA